CAGUAGCCGCGGUAAUACGUAGGUCCCGAGCGUUGUCCGGAUUUAUUGGGCGUAAAGCGAGCGCAGGCGGUUAGAUAAGUCUGAAGUUAAAGGCUGUGGCUUAACCAUAGUACGCUUUGGAAACUGUUUAACUUGAGUGCAGAAGGGGAGGGUGAAAUUCCAUGUGUAGCGGUGAAAUGCGUAGAUAUAUGGAGGAACACCGGUGGCGAAAGCGGCUCUCUGGUCUGUAACUGACGCUGAGGCUCGAAAGCGUGGGGAGCAAACAGGAUUAGAUACCCGCGUAGUCCCUGUCUCUUAUACA
rnacentral:rRNA from 1 species